UAUAAUGUUAUUAUUUUCAUAAGUUGUUUUUAUGAAUCUCACCGAGGUAAGUGGACAGUAAAAAGUUUUAUUAUUGAUAAAUGAAUUUGUUAUGAAUUAUGCUCCAUUGGUCGUUUUUGUUUUCUACCAACCUUUACUACUGUGACAGUGAGAUAGUGUGACAUCUUUACUGGGGUAGUGUUGCUCAUUCCUUACUUAACCAUUUCAGAUCAGGA
rnacentral:lncRNA from 1 species